rnacentral:rRNA from 1 species
CCUACGGGAGGCAGCAGUAGGGAAUAGUGCUCAAUGGGGGAAACCCUGAAGCAGCAACGCCGCGUGGAGGAUGAAGGUUUUCGGAUUGUAAACUCCUUUUGGUAGAGAAGAGAAGGACGGUAGCUAACGAAUAAGAACCGGCUAACGCCGUGCCAGCAGCCGCGGUAAUACGGAGGGUGCAAGCGUGACUCGGAAUCACUGGGCGUCAAGAGCGCGUAGGCGGGAUCGCAAGUCAGAUGUGAAAUCCUAUGGCUUAACCAUAGAACUGCAUGUGAAACUGUUAUUCUAGAGUAUGGGAGAGGUAGGUGGAAUUCUUGGUGUAGUGGUCCAAUCC